rnacentral:lncRNA from 1 species
GGAACAACAGUGAAAAGCGCUCGGGAUGUGUUGCAGUGAUGGUCCUGCAGUAGCUCCGUGUGUGAAUGCCGUCCGGGGCCAGAUCACUUUAACAGCAGUCCCACUUCUCUUGACUCGUAGGUCCCCCCAUCUUCAGUACGGGCUCCGAGCAGGCCUGCGGACAGGGGCCCCUGGACAGCGCCCACAGGGGGGCCCCCAGAGCCCGCUGCUCGUGUGCCGCCUCUCUCCACCAGCCUCAGGGGCGGGGCUGUUGUGUGGCUUUUACCAGCUGCGCGGGGCUCCGCGAGGCCCCGCGGACACCGACACCGGCCCACACGCAGAGAGCCCCCACGGCAGGGGACGCCCCUCCCGAAUUCAUGGGCCCGCAGGGAAAAGAGCUGGUCAGGAAAGAGGAAGGCAGCCGUGCAGCUCUGCUCUGUGGUCGUUCGAAGUCGCGCUGAUGGCAAUGUCGCUGACAAACAAAACGCACUGUGAUGGCAGCGGGAAACGGGCCCGGAGCUGUCCGUCAAGCCAGGGGCGGCAGAGCCGGGUCGUCCAGGGGGGGGCAGUGCUCUUCCAGCAAUGGGCUGCUCAGCCCCCCCCCCCCGCGCCCAGCAGCCCCCCUCCCUUCUCUCCCCCUCCUCCUAAUCCCUCCUCCCCCGGGUCUCCAUGGCGACUGCCCAGACAAGCAGGUGAUCCAUUGACAGGGAGCAGAUGGUGUCCCGUGGAGUCGGCACACACAACACAACACAACGGCGAGAGGGAUGGGAGAGGAUGUCGCUCUGGUUAUCUCGCUCCUUCAGCCUGGUGCCCGAGCAGCACCACACAAUGCCAGGGGUGGAAUGCCACUAGUUCUGUGUGAUUAUCUGCAAUAAGUGGGAAACACACUGCCCACAGGUUCAAUGGAGUCCAAAACAAUCCGAGGAGGCCCCUGUGUUUUACUUUUCUCUGGAAUGAAACUGAAAAUGCCUAUUGUGCUGCAUGAGUCCUGGCUUGUCCGUGAAAAAAAAUCAUCUCCGCUCAGAGCAGUCUAUGCGUUUCAGAAGGUGCAUCCAUUUUUACAGAAGAGUAAAAUUCUCCAUUCUGAAAAUCGAGGCAGGCAAGUGUGAAUUUGUCUGUUUGACCUUGUGUUUGAUGUCUCACUUCUCACUCUGCCUCACACUCCAGAGAGCUUUGGCUCAGCCUCCAGUUCCUUCAGAGCAAUUACUUCUGCCUCGGACCAUUUGUGUUUUUGCUUUUAAUUAUUCCGUUAUUUUAGUUAAUUUGCAUUGUCCUGAAAGCCAGGUGGGCACAUUUCAUGUAGCUGUUGUGAGCCAAAGUUUUCGAAGUGUUUUUUUUCCCCUGAAGAGAAUAUGAUCUUUGUAUGAGCAAUUAAAAACUUGGGAUCCCGCAUCAAAAGAUAAUGUUGUCUUUUAAAAACAGUUAAUGACAUUUGUGAUGGUUCUUAUGAUCAGAUUAAAAACAUCUUUAUGCUACGACUAU